UAAUUUAGUCCUUGCCCUUUUGGGUAUGUUGUAAGAGAUGGUACUUUACAUGCCCACCCGUGGCUGGCAUAUGGGCGUAUACUAUUUCGGUUAUAAUGGGGCAAAGACGUUUAUCAGUUUAAUAUCAGUUAAUAAAACUGUGGCCGACCUUUUCCUUGAAUCUAUUUAAUAUCACAUGAAUACCCCCACAGUCUGCAGGGAGUCGGGUACCUUUGCGGGUAGGAUUUCUGGUGCAGGUAUAGUAGAGUCCUGCAUCAGGUCAGGUACCCACAGGAUAGCCACAAAGCGGCCGGAAUCUACUUGAUGUUCCCACCAUGCGGGUAACCCACGGGUACCGGACCCACUGCAGCAGGGAGGCCAUUUAGGGGAUGACAAAUUAAAAUCUACUUGUCACGAUGUAAAGAUGACUGACGUUUGACGGCACUUCUGGUUUAUGUGAUGUCACUUCCGUUCAGCGCGACGCUUACUGUGGGAGUAGGUUGGAGUUUGCAUGGGGAUAAGUGGGUAAGCGGUGUGAGUCGGGCUUAGGGUAAGCGGGUACAGGUUGGGUGCAGGUCACUAAGGUAUAGAUACGGGUUGUUGGGUUGUGUUGUGGGUCUAAUCUAUAUAUCUUAUUUUAUAUUAUAUAUAUAAUCUAUAAUCAUGCAACAAAAAACAUUCUGCCCCCACCCACUUCAAGUCACUUCUGCUUCAUACAGCACCUCCUAAUUAAUGGCAGUCGCAGUGGGUCGUGGAUAAGGCAGUUGCAGGGUCUGGGUCAGGUUUCAAGGACUGGUUCCACAUAGGACUCUGCACAGUAGGAAGGCUACUGUUUGUUAUGCUGUAAAUGAACACAGAUAUGGAAAGCAGCCCCAAGGCAAAUGGAAUCUGCCAAAGACAUGAGUGUGUGUAGCGCAAGGUUGGUGUAGGACUUGCCAUGCUGAAUGCUGGUGGAGACAACACCGCAUUGGGCAUCUGGAGCAGAUGGUACAGGAAUUAUUGAUGAAUGAUAUGAGAUACAAGUUGACACUCUCCAUCCAUCAUCCCCUGGAACCAGUGCCAUAGGCCAGAAAUCCCCAACUAAAGAAGAGCAAAGUAUAGGUAAGUCCCAGCUUGCGCAUACACAUGCCUGCCACCACUGCAUAGUAAAUCAUUGAUACCCAAAUUGUACCCCAAAGUAUUAACAUUGUUCAGAAAUUGUUAGGAAAUCUUUCUAAAGCUAACGAAAUACAUUGCCUAAAAUAUUACCCUAUAACUAUAGCUCAGUCCAACUUUUUCAACAACAGACCAAAUAUCCAAUAAAAACCAGUGUUCAGGGACACCUUAGGCCUCAUUUGCAAAGCCAAACACGGCAUGCAUGCAAUUAGCUAUUUUUUGCACUUUGCAUGCUGUAUUUGCCUAUCCAGUGCCGGCCGGGAUGCCUGGGGCCCACCGGGUCUGUCAGCUCAAGGGGGGCCCUGCAGUGCUGCACUUACUUGCUUAGUGGGGCCCCCCUGCAGUCAGUAAGCUGCAGACUUGGGAAUUGUGGGGGAGGAGAUGGAGUGCCUGCAUCUUCUUUCCCCUACGCAGCUUUCAGGAUGCUCAUUUGUCACUAACGUACUAAGGGCAGUGACAUAUUAAUAAUUCUGUACUUCCUAAGCCCAGUCUCACAAUCUACUAACCCCAAUGAUAUGUUUUAUACAAGGACAUUGAACAAAAUCCCUGCCUCAAUCAAGAUCAGUAGCACUGGGAUCACUUAUGACUUAUUCCCUGCUUUUAUUUCUUUAUUAUUAGCAUCAUUUUUCACCCAUUUCUCCCACCCCUGCCCCUUGACUUUACCUUCUCUUUUCACUUACCCUUUUCCCUUGCACUACAGGUGUCCAUUGUCUCUAAUGCUCACUGACAAUACUAUGGGACAAUAAAAAGGCAAGAACACCAAUAGAAUAUGUAUUAAAAUAUUUAUUUAUAAAAUAGAUAUUAUUUUGAUAUAUUUUGGAUUAAUUCCUGUUAAUUUAGGUUGGAAAGGACUCAUGUUUUUAAGUUUAAGUCUAAAAGAAAGAUGCCUAUUUGCUAGUUGGUCCAGAGGAAGGCGAAAAACCACCAUCUGAAGCCAGAGCCAAUUUGCCUCAGAGGGGAAAAAAU